UACGAAGGGGGCUAGCGUUGCUCGGAAUCACUGGGCGUAAGGGUGCGUAGGCGGUUUGGCAAGUCUUGUGUGAAAUCUUUGGGCUCAACCCAAAGUCUGCAUAAGAAACUGCCGGGCUUGAGUAUGGGAGAGGUGAGUGGGAAUUUCCGGUGUAGCGGUGAAAUGCGUAGAUAUCGGAAGGAACACCUGUGGCGAAAGCGGCUCACUGGACCAUUACUGACGCUGAGGCAC
rnacentral:rRNA from 1 species